UGAGGAAUAUUGGUCAAUGGUCGGGAGACUGAACCAGCCAAGCCGCGUGAGGGAUGAAGGUACAGAGUAUCGUAAACCUCUUUUGUCAGGGAACAAAAGGCGCCACGUGUGGCGCUCCGAGUGUACCUGAAGAAAAUGCAUCGGCUAACUCCGUGCCAGCAGCCGCGGUAAUACGGAGGAUGCGAGCGUUAUCCGGAUUUAUUGGGUUUAAAGGGUGCGUAGGCGGCGAGUUAAGUCAGCGGUAAAAUGCCCGGGGCUCAACCCCGGCCCAGCCGUUGAAACUGGCUUGCUUGAGUUGGAGAGAAGUAGGCGGAAUGCGCGGUGUAGCGGUGAAAUGCUUAGAUAUCGCGCAGAACUCCGAUUGCGAAGGCAGCCUACCGGCUCCACACUGACGCUGAGGCACGAAAGCGUGGGUAUCGAACAGGAUUAGAUACC
rnacentral:rRNA from 1 species